rnacentral:rRNA from 1 species
CCCUUAGACGUUCUGGGUCGCACGCGCGCUACACUGACCAGUGCAACAAGCAUCCGUCCUUGGCCGACAGGCUCGGGCAAUCUUUGAACGCUGGUCGUGAUGGGGAUAGACUUUUGCAAUUUUUGGUCUUCAACGAGGAAUUCCUAGUAAACGCAAGUCAUCAACUUGCAUUGAUUACGUCCCUGCCCUUUGUACACACCGCCCGUCGCACCUACCGAUUGAAUGGUCCGGUGAAGCCUCCGGAUUGGCGCGCACCUCGGUGCCGCCGAGAAGUUGGCUAAACCUUACCAUUUAGAGGAAGGUGAAGUCGUAACA